rnacentral:rRNA from 1 species
AUUGAACGCUGGCGGCAUGCCUUACACAUGCAAGCCGAACGGUAACAGGUCUUCGGAUGCUGACGAGUGGCGAACGGGUGAGUAAUACAUCGGAACGUGCCUAGUAGUGGGGGAUAACUACUCGAAAGAGUGGCUAAUACCGCAUGAGAUCUACGGAUGAAAGCAGGGGAACGCAAGACCUUGUGCUACUAAAGCGGCCGAUGGCAGAUUAGGUAGUUGGUGGGAUAAAAGCUUACCAAGCCGACGAUCUGUAGCUGGUCUGAGAGGACGAUCAGCCACACUGGGACUGAGACACGGCCCAGACUCCUACGGGAGGCAGCAGUGGGGAAUUUUGGACAAUAGGCGAAAGCCUGAUCCAGCAAUGCCGCGUGCAGGAUGAAGGCCUUCGGGUUGUAAACUGCUUUUGUACGGAACGAAAAGCCCCGGGUUAAUACCCUGGGGUCAUGACGGUACCGUAAGAAUAAGCACCGGCUAACUACGUGCCAGCAGCCGCCGUAA